GACGAACGCUGGCGGCGUGCUUAACACAUGCAAGUCGAACGCUGAAGCACCAGCUUGCUGGUGUGGAUGAGUGGCGAACGGGUGAGUAAUACGUGAGUAACCUGCCCUUGACUCUGGGAUAAGCCCGGGAAACUGGGUCUAAUACUGGAUGCUACAUGUCACCGCAUGGUGGUGUGUGGAAAGGGUUUACUGGUCUUGGAUGGGCUCACGGCCUAUCAGCUUGUUGGUGAGGUAAUGGCUCACCAAGGCGACGACGGGUAGCCGGCCUGAGAGGGUGACCGGGCACAAGGGGAGAAAAAGACGGCACAGGAGAGAAGGGGAGGCAGCGGGGGGGAGGAUGGAACAAGGGGCGAAGGGGUGAGGAAGAGGGGCAGCGGGAGGGAAGACAGGUUUGGGGUGGAAAACGUGUGGAAGGAGGGAAAAAGCAAGAAGUGACGGUACCGGAAGAGGAAGCGACGGAUAACUACGUG
rnacentral:rRNA from 1 species